rnacentral:rRNA from 1 species
CUAUACAUGCAAGUCGAGCGAACGGACGAGAAGCUUGCUUCUCUGAUGUUAGCGGCGGACGGGUGAGUAACACGUGGAUAACCUACCUAUAAGACUGGGAUAACUUCGGGAAACCGGAGCUAAUACCGGAUAAUAUUUUGAACCGCAUGGUUCAAAAGUGAAAGACGGUCUUGCUGUCACUUAUAGAUGGAUCCGCGCUGCAUUAGCUAGUUGGUAAGGUAACGGCUUACCAAGGCAACGAUGCAUAGCCGACCUGAGAGGGUGAUCGGCCACACUGGAACUGAGACACGGUCCAGACUCCUACGGGAGGCAGCAGUAGGGAAUCUUCCGCAAUGGGCGAAAGCCUGACGGAGCAACGCCGCGUGAGUGAUGAAGGUCUUCGGAUCGUAAAACUCUGUUAUUAGGGAAGAACAUAUGUGUAAGUAACUGUGCACAUCUUGACGGUACCUAAUCAGAAAGCCACGGCUAACUACGUGCCAGCAGCGGCCGGUAAUAAA